AGAGUUUGAUCCUGGCUCAGAACGAACGCUGGCGGCAGGCCUCAAACAUGCAAGUCUAGGGGGUGCAGCAAUGCAUCACCGGCGGACGGGUGCGUAACGCGUGGGAAUAUACCUAUUGGUUCGGAACAACUGCGGGAAACUGCAGCUAAUACCGAAUGAGCCCGCAAGGGGAAAGAUUUAUCGCCAAUGGAUUAGCCCGCGUCCGAUUAGCUAGUUGGUGGGGUAAAGGCUCACCAAGGCUCCGAUCGGUAGCUGUUCUGAGAGGAAGAUCAGCCACACUGGGACUGAGACACGGCCCAGACUCCUACGGGAGGCAGCAGUUGGGAAUCUUGGACAAUGGGGGAAACCCUGAUCCAGCCAUGCCGCGUGAGUGAUGAAGGCCUUCGGGUUGUAAAACUCUUUCGACGGGGACGAUAAUGACGGUACCCGUAGAAGAAGCUCCGGCUAACUUCGUGCCAGCAGCCGCGGUAAUACGAAGGGGGCUAGCGUUGUUCGGAAUUACUGGGCGUAAAGCGCGCGCAGGCGGUCUUCCAAGUCAGUGGUGAAAGCCCGGAGCUCAACUCCGGAACUGCCAUUGAAACUGUUGGACUUGAGGAUGAGAGAGGUGAGUGGAAUUCCCAGUGUAGAGGUGAAAUUCGUAGAUAUUGGGAAGAACACCGGUGGCGAAGGCGGCUCACUGGCUCAUUACUGACGCUCAGGCGCGAUAGCGUGGGGAUCAAACAGGAUUAGAUACCCUAGUAGUCC
rnacentral:rRNA from 1 species